GUUGAAGUUUACAUUCCAGACUGUAGCCUCCAAGACUAGCACGUUCCAUCCCACUGCCCUGAGUGUCCACUCUGAGGCUCUGGGACUCAGAUCUGGGGGACUGGGGGCUUCAGACAGGAGUCACUACUGUCCCUGGCCUCAAAGGAAGGGCUCAACAUCUAAAGAAUCUUUUUCUUUUUUUUUUUAGAGACAGGGUCUCACUCUAUCACCCAGGCUGCUGUGCAGUGGUGUGAUCACAGCUCACUGCAUCCUUAAUCUCCCAGGCUCAAUUCAUCCUCCUGCCUCAGCCUCCCAGGUAGCUGGGACUACAGGCACGUGCCACUAUGUCCGGCUAAUUUUUUCACUUUUUUUGUAGAGUCUGGGUCUCACUAUGUUGCCCAGGCUGGUCUUAAACUCCUGGCCUCAAGUGAUCCUCCUGCCUCAGCCUCCCAGAGCGCUAGAAUGACAGGCUUAAGCCACUGUGCCUGGCCUAAAGAAGCUUCCGAUUCGAUAACCCAUCAAGUUUAUGAGCUGCUUCCACAGGCGCGGUGUCUCCUUUAGGACCUCAUGAAAACUGGUUGAGGAGGGCAGGCUGUGUGUGUUCAUCCCUGCCCCACAGAUGAUCCAAGAGGGGUUGGAAAGAGAUAAAGGACCCCGCCAAAGGCUCCCAGCGUGUUCCUGAAGGAGCUGGGAUGCAACUUGUGGUCCCUGACUUCUGGCCAGGGCUGAGGCUCUUUCUGCUCCUUCAGCCCUGACUACUGAGGACAAGGGGAAGACACCAACCUGCCCGGGUGACAUCCCUGUCUCAGGCCCCAUGCUAUCCCCUGUCCCCACCCUAGGAGGAACCCGGAAGCUGGUAGAAUCUUUGUCCACUGUGUAGCAGAUGGCAACCUGGUCACUUCUUCACCAGAUACCAGAAUAAUGUAAUGGAAGAGGCAUCUUUGAACGGUGAUGAAAUGAACUCUCAUUCUUUCUGGCCUCUGCUGUCUUCCCUUGACCCCCAUAUAUAUCCAGGAUCUAAGCCCAGCAGAACAGAAGCUCCAGCUGCCCAGGAGAAGAGCUUAAUUGUCCCCCAUCCAGGCACAUGCAGACUUGGGUUCAAAUCCUGACUCCACCCCUUUUAGCUCUGUGACUGAUCCAUGCUGAGCCUGUUUUUGUAGAACAUAAGAUGAUAAUAGCUCCCACCUCUGGUGGGGAGGGUGGCCUGAAAAUGUGCGUAAAUUUUAUUUGCAUAUAAAGCUGUAGUAGAGGCUGGGCGUGGUGGCUCACACCUAUAAUCCCAGCACUUUGGGAGGCCGAGGCAGGCGGAUCACUUGAGGCCAGGAGUUCGCCAACAUGGUGAAACCCUGUCUUUACCAAAAAUACAAGAAUUAGCCAGGCAUGGUGGUGUGCGCCUGUAAUCCCAGUUACUUGGGAGGCCGAGGUAGGAGAAUCCCUUGAACCUGGGAAGUGGAGGUUGUGAUGAGCCGAGAUCAUGCCACUGCACUCCAGCCUGGGCAACAGAGUAAGACUCUGUCUCAAAAAACAGCUGUAGUAGAAAUGAAGUAAUUUGGGCUAUCUUAUCUAGUUUUGCUGAGUGACUUUGAGGAAAUUCUUUCCUCUCCCCAGGGCUCAGUCUUCCACUGAAAUAGGGUGUUGGGACAGCUCUCCCCUUAGAAAUGACUGUGGGACCUUUCAGUGUUUGAGAAAGGUGCAGUGGCUGUGUCUGCAUGUGCAAACCUGCUCCUCGGGGUUCAGGGCACGAGAGCAACUGGCAGAGGCAGAGACAGAGUUCUGGGCCCAGGCCUGCCAGGAGUUGUAGCUGCUGAGUGAGGAAGCUCUGUGGGAGCCCCAGGAGGGGGGAACAUGGAAAAAUUGAGCUUGGCCCUGGGUGAGUUGGGGCGGGGAGGCCGUGGUUCACAGCCCUGCACAGAAGCUGCACAGAAGCCCCACGCCUGAGAGGAGGCGAGUCAAGGCCUUAUUUAUUCACGAUCAGGCCACUGGCAUUUGCCCGUGCUUGCACUUUUUGCAAAUGUCCCCUCGGGAAGACGCCGCUAAGGGCCUGGCCCACACCACGUGCUCUGUGACUAUCUAUCUAUGAAAUGAACAAAAGAAUUUGAUCCUUACGAAAUGCAGGUCGUCCUGACUCCCAGGCGGGGUUCCUUGAGGUUACCCAGAACUCUCCUGCCAGGGAGAUGAGGAGGCCAUGUGGACUGCAAAAGAACAUAGGCUUUGGAUUUGGGACAACCUGGAUUUGAACCAUUCCCUUAUUCAGCCAUCCAUUCAUUCUUUGCACAAUUGUUAACUGAACGUCCUGUAGAUGCCUGGUGCUGUAUGACCUUUGGCAAAUCACUUAA
rnacentral:lncRNA from 10 species